UACGUAGGGGGCAAGCGUUGUCCGGAAUCAUUGGGCGUAAAGCGCGUGUAGGCGGCCAGGUAAGUCCGUUCUGAAAGCCCGGGGCUCAACCCCGGGAGGCGGAUGGAUACUGUUUGGCUCGAGUCCGGAAGAGGCGAGUGGAAUUCCCGGUGUAGCGGUGAAAUGCGCAGAUAUCGGGAGGAACACCAAUGGCGAAGGCAGGUCUCUGGGCUGACACUGACGCUCGAUGCACGAAAGCGUGGGGAGCAAACAGG
rnacentral:rRNA from 1 species